CUUCAUGUUGCAUCCCGGGCUUCUCUGAAAUAUAAAAUAACUAAAAAAAACCCCAAUGCUCAUGCUAAAUUUUUGCCGUUUAGUGUUGCAGGUUUGCGUUCUUCCACAACUUAUUUGUGUCAAAAUAACUUCUACAUUU